CCAAACACACACACACAAACACACACACACACACACACACACGUUUCCAUAGAGAGAGGUUCCACUUUGCAUUAGCAGCUCAUGCUUCAGCGCUCUGCGAGUGUUUAUAGCCCUGUGACUUUAACACUUCAUGACUGAGAGCUGCUGCUCAGCGACUUCACCCACAGCAACCAUGAGUUUGAUCAGCGUCUUCAUCUGCACACUGGCCCUCUGCGCUCGAGGAUCCAGAGGUCAGGUGACUGUGACUCAGAGUCCUGCAGUGAAAUCUGUUUCUCCAGGAGACACACUCACCAUCAGCUGUAAAACCAGUCCUGCUGUUUACUCUAGUGGUAGUACCUAUUAUUUCUCCUGGUAUCAGCAGAAAGCUGGAGAAGCUCCUAAACUCCUGAUCUAUUGGGCUAGCAGUAGAGAAUCAGGUAUUCCAGCUCGUUUCAGUGGCAGUGGAUCUGGAUCUGAUUUCACUCUGACCAUCAGUGGAGUCCAGCCUGAAGAUGCUGGAGAUUAUUACUGUCAGAGUUACCAUGAGAUCAGUAGUAGCUAUGUGUUCACACAGUGUUAG